GAGGGUGUAGCUCAGUGGUAGAGCGUGUGCUUAGCAUGCAUGAGAUGCUGGGUUCAAUCCCUCGUACCUCCA
rnacentral:tRNA from 1 species